AAAGUAAGCUAAAUCCACUUUUUAUCCAAAAACUUGGUUGGUUCUUUUGAUUUAUGUUUCUAUUAUAUUAGUGAAUUGUUAUUUUUUUUUUUUUUGAGACCUUAGGAAUAUCACUUUCAUUUUCUUUAAAGGUGACAAAUUGAGUGCAUAUGUUUAUGUGAUCUCAUUGUUAUCAUCAUGUGUACACUUAAGAUUUGAGAAAUUUUCGAUUGUUGAGGCAAGAGGAUACACC
rnacentral:lncRNA from 1 species